UACGUAGGGUGCAAGCGUUAAUCGGAAUUACUGGGCGUAAAGCGUGCGCAGGCGGUUUUGUAAGUCUGUCGUGAAAUCCCCGGGCUCAACCUGGGAAUUGCGAUGGAGACUGCAAGGCUAGAAUCUGGCAGAGGGAGGUAGAAUUCCACGUGUAGCAGUGAAAUGCGUAGAGAUGUGGAGGAACACCGAUGGCGAAGGCAGCCCCCCUGGGUCAAGAUUGACGCUCAUGCACGAAAGCGUGGGGAGCAAACAGG
rnacentral:rRNA from 1 species